GUGGGGAAUAUUGGGCAAUGGGCGCAAGCCUGACCCAGCAACGCCGCGUGAGGGAAGAAGGUUUUCGGAUUGUAAACCUCUGUCCUAUGUGACGAAGGAAGUGACGGUAGCAUAGGAGGAAGCCCCGGCUAACUACGUGCCAGCAGCCGCGGUAAUACGUAGGGGGCGAGCGUUGUCCGGAAUUACUGGGCGUAAAGGGUGCGUAGGCGGUCUGGUAAGUUGGAUGUGAAAUACCCGGGCUUAACUUGGGUGCUGCAUCCAAUACUGUCGGACUUGAGUGCAGGAGAGGAAAGCGGAAUUCCUAGUGUAGCGGUGAAAUGCGUAGAUAUUAGGAGGAACACCAGUGGCGAAGGCGGCUUUCUGGACUGUAACUGACGCUGAGGCACGAAAGCGUGGGGAGCAAACAGG
rnacentral:rRNA from 1 species